AGAAAAACAUGUGGAACCAGCAAAGUCACCAAAGAAAGAACAUUCAGUUCCAAGUGAAAAACAAGUAAAAGCAAAAACUGAACGAGUCAAAGAGGAGGUUGGUGCUGUUUCAAGUAAAAAAGCUGUACCUGGAAAGAAGGAAGAGAAAACAACCAAGACAGUGGAGCAAGGUAAAAAAAACUGAAGGAGGUUGACAUUAUCUUCUUUAGAAAGACAACAGCAUGCGGAGGAGAGCACUGGAUUCAGACAGGCGGAAGACAAUAACCUUUAAGUCUGUUGCUCUUUAUCACUGUCCUUGCAUGUUUUUCUGUGCCAGGGAGAAUGUGAGACAGCAAUCUGGGUUGGUCUUUCUUUUGUGUAACUAAACUUUGAAUAUCAGUUCCGAACAGGAAAACUCCACAAACUGCUUAAUUACAUCAGGAGACAUGCUGAAGAUGGUUGGGAAUAAGACAAUGAUCCGGGGGAACUGGUAGACAUAUUCCGAUUUGAUUUGUGGUUUUAACACCACCUUACUGAUCAUAAUUUGAAAAAUAAAGAUGGCCCAGUCCUAUAUAUGCAACAACUAUUUCUAUUGCUUGAAAAAAUAAUAUGUAAAAGUUAGAACGAAGAAAACAGCAAAAGUAAGUUGAGUAUAUUAUGACAUAUGACAUAUUAUGAUUUCAACUAUUCAUUCUCCCAAGAGCUCUGAAAUUUCAGUGUUAUAAACUAUAAUGAUAUAAAAUAGUUAAUGCAUUUUUUUUUGUAUUUGUGUAGCUGUAUCAUAAAUAGAUCACUCCAGACUCUGCUUGAGAAAAAUGCUACAGUACACUAAACUUAAAACAUUUAAAGUGAUAUGGUUUCUCUUAGAGCUCAAGUGUGCCAAUAAUUUUAAUUGUUGUUCCCUCAUGUCUUUGCUUUUGUAUAAUACUAUAUUUAUUAUAAUAAAUUAAAUUAGAACUUGCAAUAAUUUUGUCAAGAACAAAAUCUAAAUGAUUUCUCCUUCAAAUUUGAGAUGCAAUUAAAUUUAUGAAAUCCUAAUAUCAGAAGUUAAGAACUUUUGACAUAAAUAUAUCAAGAAAAUCCUUCAAUCCCUCACAUGUCAAAUAAAUAAACUAAAGUUAAGAAUUCAGUUAAGUAAAAAGAUUGGUUAAGAAUUUAUUUCCUUGGGCUUUUCAAAAUAAAAUCCUAUUAUAAUUGCAUGGAAAAUGUUUUCCAAUUUAUUUUGGCUUCUGGGGACUCUGAAAUUUUACAAUUCAGUAGAUGUUUCUGUCGGUUUCUUUCUGAAGAAGAGUGGAAUUUUAGUUUCUGAAAUAUGAAGUGGGAACACUGCAUCCUAAUUUCAGUGUGUUCAGUUAUACACGUUUCUGAGUCUAAAUUUAUUCUUUAAAAAAUAAAGAUAAUUAUCCCUGACCUGCCUAUCUGACAAGAUGUUGUACAGGUCAAACAUGAAAACGUAUGUGAAAGGAUAUUAAAAUUUGUAAACUUCUAGAUAAGCAUGUAACACAUACUUAGGCGUUUGUUCUUAUAAAAUCAGUUUCAACACAGAUGACAUAAAUUAUCAAACUACUUUGAUUUCAUUGAGUUUAUAGCUUUCCCCCUCUAGUAUAAACGUGCUGAUUACUUAUGACAUUCAUAGGUUGUUUUCAUAACCACAAUAUAUCAAAAGAAAAUUGACUAGAAUAUGAAACACCCAUGCUAAUAAUAGUACCGAACAGACAACUGAUUUGAAAACAGAUUGUUUCUUUCUUCUUAUCAUCACAUUGGUGUCAGUUUCAUUAAUUCUAUAAUGUCUCCUCUAGUGGACAAGAGACUGGAAAUGGUUCAUAAAGAUAUGAUCUUACUCCUUCAGAUGAUUUUAUAAUUUUGUCUCCUAAAAUCUUUUAUCUUAUCAAAGCUUAGGCUCUUGCAUUGUGUGAAAAAGAUGAGGUUCUUUCAAUGGCUAUUUUUAUAUUGACUUAGUAAAUCAUUUCAAUUUUAAAUAUUGUAUGACAAUGGCCUCAUAAUUUUCAACCAUAACAAUCAUAGGAAAUAAUAUAUUUGGAUAUUUUGCAUAUUUUUAUGAUAGUAUAUCUAUUCCUAAUAACUGAUAUGAAAAAUAGAUAUUUUGUGCUUUUAAUGAAGUAAUAUGAGAAGUGAUAAAUAAUGACAUUCUAUAAAUUUUCUCAUAUUAUUCUAAUAGUUAUGCAUAAUGGUUUAAGACUUCUAUACUUUGCUUUGUUAUGUAGUUUUUAGUUAUCUUCAGAAGUAUAAAUAAUCUAUUACUAGUUUAUAAUUCAUUGAAAUACAGUUAAAUCCUCUUUAAAGAUUUAUUUUUAUUUAUUUGUUUGAACAUGUGCACUUUAUUUAGAAAAAUUAUAUGAUUUUUGUAACUCUUAAUGGAGUUUAAGUACACUUUGUGAUCAAAGUAUAAUUGUGCAUAUUGAAUCUCUGGACUUAAAUACUUAUGGAUAUUCCAGUAUCUCAAAAUGAAGUUGAAAGUUUUAUUACACAAUAGUGUAGUAUUCAAUUCUCUUAACAAUUAAAAGUCACUUCAAAAGUCAAUUAAGUAGAAACAGGACAAAAAAUAUUUUUGGGAAAUUAAAUAAAAUUUGAUUGUCUACUAACCAUCAAGAAUAAAUUUUAACAUAAUUAGUAAACAUUUUAUUAAGUGUAAAGUUGGAGCCUGUUGAUCAUAAAUGUAUCAGAGUUCACUUCACUAUAAUAAAAGAUUCAACUUUGCCUUAAAUUAAGGAAUGUUUCAAAGUUCAUAAAUAGGCUAAUUUGUGUCCACUUGAAGAGUUUCUUUCUUCGCUUUUGAUGCUAUUCUGUAAACAAUGGUUCCCUAUGUAAUUGUAAUAGUGUUUUACAUUGUCACAACACCAGGCAAAACCCAAGUGCUAUUGCAAGCUUUGUAAAGCUGUCACUGUCCUCAUCCACCUUAUCAGAUUCUUCUCUUCUUUGUGUAUGCACUGGUCCUUUUGAAAUCUGUGAUGUGUACUGAUUGUAGAUUUAUUCCAUACUUUCAAGUGAAUGUUAAUAUCUAAGAGUAAUGAUUUCCCUGAGAAAGUUUUAUCCAUUUGAAUAUAAUGAAUGUUCAUAUUUCUUGGUGUAUCAAAGUUAUAACAAAAGAGGGAAAUAAUUUUUCAUUUAAAAUCAAUGAAGUAAAACAAGAUUUAGUUAACACAAUUGUAUUUAAUUAUUUGCUUAAUAUGUAUUAUAAAAUAACUUAUUUGCACAUGUUGACUAAGUCAUGCUGUUGACCCUCAAUAAAUGUUAAAUUAUAAUAACAAU